UCUUUGCUUCUGAGAAGGUACAGAAAACCUAGGCUUACCACAAUAUUGCAACUAACUGUUGAAUGAUUCCAUAAAUGCCCAUUACAAUUUAUCACAAAAGAAAACAUAGCUCAAAGUUUUUCCAAUGUAUACUCUAACUUCAAUCUGAGGUUGUGCAAUCUUGCAACCAUUUACUGUUCUUUUGUUUAUGGGGGGUCAAAAUGGUUAGAGAAAGUGAAAAAAAAAAAAGACUCUCUUAUACAUCAUACAAAUUUGUAAACCAAGAUGUAUUUGACUCUUCCUACUCUGGAUAUUCAAGUUAGAUUCCUCGAGUAGAGGUGAUUUGACCUCAUAUAGUUCUCAAUAUUUAGCUGUGUUCUUCUUUCACAAUGUAUCAAACUCACAGGACUUGGAUCAUGUUUAAACAGAUUUACCCUGCAAGAAGCAGUAUAUGAUGAGAUGAUGCUUUCCCCAAUCAUAAACAACAUUAAUCUUGUGGAGAUUUGACUGGUAAAUUUUCUUUCUUUAUUUUUACAAAGAAUAAAUAUUGCAGAUGGAAUCAGAUCUUCUUCUUUGCAAAGGAUAUGCAGUGUUUAAUCAAUGCUGCCUCUCAUCCUUACAAGUCACAUAAUUUUUUUUUAAUCAGAAUUUUUAAAUAAUUUAUUUUUAUUAUAUUAAAUGAUACAUAAGAUAUUUUCGUUUUGAUUCGAACAUAAACCUAUCAAUUAUAAGUAUUGUGUCAAAAAAGAUAUAUAUUGGAGUUAAGUCCAUUAACUCUUCUCGUUUCCUUGAUAUUUAUAAGAUUCCAAAGAACUCCAUUGACAUUAUGGAAGAACUGAUGUUAUCGGGUUAAUGGAUCCGAAACGGCUCCAGUGGAUCCGAACGAGAGUAAAACCGGCCCAACAUGGCGAUGCAAAGCAUUUGAAUCCGGAGACGACGACCAAGAUUCAUAACAAACCACCCCUCAAUGCGCCUAUAAUUUACCCGCACUGCCAUCCAAACUCCAAACCGUGGUACCGACCCCCACUGCUUUUUUGGACCACCGGACCGAUGAGAUCUGUCCACGUGUAUACAUGGGGUCCACGUAGACACGCCGCCCCUGGUAUUCGACUCCCCCCUAAUUCCUUUCACCGGUCGCUCUCUUUAGGGUUUCCAGGUAGAUCAGCUCUUCUUCUUCGUCUUCUUCAAGGUAAAAGAAGAAAUGAGGGACCGGACGAGUUUUGUUCGAUUUAGUGUUCCGUAUCUUUGUAUUCUCGAUCUCCGUGCCUUAGCUUUUGUUGGCGUUGAAUGGUGCUUCGCGAAUUCGUAGGGUUUGAGUUGAACGUAGGGUUUACGGUUUUCGAUUUCAGUUGAUUCCUUGCUUGAACAAGGUCAAAGUAUUUUUUAUGCAAGGAGUCAUUGAUUUCGGUUCACAGGGGACGGUUGAGCCUUCGGGGGUAACCUGCUGAUUACGUCAACGACAUCGGCGGGUGAGGAGCGAUUCUCAUUCUUGAUUUCUUGAUCUUCGAGGUGAUUUCAUCUUUGGAUUGUUUAAAUACCUUUCUCUUUAUUUCCUAAUGGUUGCUAUUUUGUAAUGUUUUUCCUUUUCCUGUUUCGUGUCCUGCUUUGGUAUGAAGAACUUGUGUUGCCUGAGAUUUUGACGGGUUGGUGAUCGACGUUUCAUGAGCCUGAAAUUUGAGUUUCUUGCUUUUCGUAGUUAGCAGAAUCCCUGCUAAAACUCUCUGUUGGUGCAGUUGAGAGCAGGCAAUUUAUGCUAAAGAAAAUUGUCUGCGAAGCAUUUGUCCUGCUUAAGUAAAAAGAGGGUUGAACUUGGCUUAGAAGCAUGUUCUUCACAGUUUAAAGGUGGAGAUAGCUUGAAGUUUCCUAUGCCAAACCUUUUAGCUUGUGAAAGAGUGUUGGAUGUAACUAUGUCACCACUGAGAAUCUUUAGUCAGUUUGAUGCUUUGAUAUUCGGAACAAAAAUUAAACUUAAAGAGCACUUCUUUUCCCUAAAUCUUUGGUAAUAUUUUUACUGUUACAUAUUGCGUAGUCCUCAGUCUUUAGAGGGAUUGGGGAGGAAUUCACUACGUUAUGGAUGGUGAAUAAAAUUGCUUUCAAUUAUGUGAUUCGCAAUAAUUACAAUGUGCUAUGGACGGUGAUGUAACCAAGAUUUUCUUUGACACACACUAGUCACCAUCUAUGAAUAGCAUUUGAACUCUUCUCUUGCGCUUUCUGUUCUCAUGCUUCUUUAUGUUGGAUGGUCUGUUUACCUCUGUUUCUCUUGGUAUCGGAAAGCCCAUUUACUACCCAGAUUAAUUAAACGAAAUAUAACUUUUGAUUUCCAUGUCAGGAGCUUUUGGUGAAUUGAACUUGUUAGCAGAAACCCUGGAAGUUCACCUUGAUUUGACCUUUGAAGGUAAGAUUACAGUAUUGCUGGUGCAAUUGGCAGUUAAGAUGUUAGUACUUCAAAGUUUUCAAAUUUCUGUAGGAUGAAGUGCCUUUUGCUUGUAACCCUGUUGCUUCUUCACAUGUUCCUUGUUUCUAUCUCAGUCUAGCAACAGGAUUCAAAAGCCGUUAUGUCCAUGAAUAGUACUGAAGCUUCAUUUUUUUAUGUAUAAAUAUAUAUUAUUAAAAAGAAGUUUACUGUCUAAUAUGUCCUGACAUGCACACCAUGUAUAAGUUAUCUAUAGCACUUCUACUGUCUCUAAGUAACUCAGUGGCAACUCGAUUGCUGGUUUCUUUACCUUUUCUAUGUCUGUGUCCAUGCUUUUUUUAUUUUUCCGAGUGGGUGGGUUGUAGAGAGUAUCGUGGUUUUUGAUGAAACCAAGUGAAGGAACGUUGAGGCGGAGAUCCUGUCUAACUACCAAGAGAGAGGUGGAAGUCCCUACAUUGUGACAUAUAAAGUACAAUCUAAAGAUUACAACGUUAGGCCUAUGAUGCCUGGAAACCAAGUGAUGUUGUUUAAAAGAAACCUGCCCUAAGAUCAUGAAGGUGCAUCAAGGCCACUGUUCUGUCUAUAGUACUGUAGCUCUUCAAGUGCUUUCAGUAUUUGUUUUUGUUAAUGGAGGUUUUGCCAUUUUGGAAUGCUA
rnacentral:lncRNA from 1 species